GGUGACAACGGUUAACGGAGAAUAGGGGUUCGGUUCCGGAGAAGGAGCCUGAGAGACGGCUACUACAUCCAAGGAAGGCAGCAGGCGCGCAAAUUACCCACUCCUGGCAUGGGGAGGUAGUGACGAUAAAUAACGGAACGUAUCUCGAUGAGACGCGUUACCGGAACGAC
rnacentral:rRNA from 1 species